rnacentral:tRNA from 1 species
GUAGAGAUAGCUCAGAGGUCAAGAGCACUGGCUGCUCUUCCAGAGGUCCUGAGUUCAAUUCCCAGCAACCACA